ensembl:lncRNA
GGCCACCCAACUGGGAUAUCACCAUCCUUCCAAGGGUGUUCAUUCCAUCACAAACAGCUUUCAGGCUCUGGUCAUCAGGCAGAUUGUCCAGCUUUGGCAAUUCCAAGCCAUGUUCACAAGACACGGGCUAAUUUCUGAUAAAUUCUCACCAACUGAAUCCAGCUCUGCUAGAUCCUGUUACAAUGAGAGGGGAGAAGAGAUGGCAGUUGGACCACUUGCUGUUGAGGUCUUGGAUGUUGCAAAAGACUUUAUUCUGUCCUAUCUCCUGCCCAGACUGUUUUGCUGAGAUCUCAUCCCAUCCCUUCUCCUCCCUGCACAGAUAUACUCCAGCCAGGCUCCAUUUCAAAUCUCUCCUGGGUUGCUGGUUUCAAAGCUUUCCAAAGAGUCUCAUCAUCCAGGAAACAGAUGUCUAGGACUACUGGGCUUCCUUGGGGGAAAGCAGCACUGAGGAUGGUUUUGUGGUAGCAUCUUUGCACCAAGCCCUGCUUAAAAUGUAGACAGUGAGCUGGAAGCAGCAAAGAAAUGUUUAUGGAAUUGCUUUCACGGGCACUGUGCAUGUGGUGAUAGGUUUAUAAAUUAGGUCAUACCAUUUCCUGAAAUGUAUGUGCAACGUUCUGGAUAUUUAAUGGCAUAAAGACGUAAUUAGCUGCAGCUUUGGAAAACAGCGUCACCUUGAUUUGAAGGAAACUGUUAAAUAAGAUUGGGUUACCAUGCUGAGCAACCCAUUGCAAAGAUACAAUCUGAGGAGGGAACCUGACCCUGCCAGGAUUUCCUCUGCAGUGUGUUUGCAUUGUAUAUGCAUCUAAUCUGGAGCAAAUAUCUACAUUUCUCUGUACCCCAUUCAGACCUAAAGGAAAAAAAAGUAAGCUGAGUAGCUUCACUGAAUGCUAAAAUAGAAGAAAUUUGCUGCAGGAAGGAAAUUUUAAGGUUAUGAUCUGCAUGGUCCCAGGUGCAUUUUUAAAGCAUCUGAAAUGUUAGAAGUCUCCUAUGUCCUCCAAGAACCUUGAGAAGAGAGAGAAAAUGCUGCAUAGCAAAGGUCUUUUGGAAGAUGGAAUGUGAAAACAGAUUAAAUAUAAGAUUUGGGAUCCCAAUGACCCCUACGUGUUUUUCAGUCAACAGCAAAAUACCGUGAGAGACUUCAGUCUCCUUCAUGUAACCAGCAAACCCCGAGAUCCCACUCUCAGCUGACACCUGCAGCAAGGCCUGUGUUCCUCAUGGCAUGUAAGGGCUCAAGCUCUCUGCAGACACUGUGGGACAUUCAGGACAAUGCUGAUUUGCUCUCACUUCUCUCCAUUGGCUCCAGAGGAACCCAAGGUGAGGUUUUGGGUGGUUGUGAAGAGUCAGGAGUUGGACUUGAUGAUCCUUAUGGGUCCCUUCCAACAUGGGAUCUUCUGUCAUUCUAUGAUUCUUGUUCCAUGGACUGACCCUAUUCCUAUGAUGACAGCUUUCCAGGAAUACCAAGGCAAAGGCACCCAAACUCAACCUGAAGCACCCAGCCUGCUGAUACCGAGCUUCUUUGGCUCUGUUCCCACUGGACCACCUAUGGAUGUCGAUGAAGACAACAAGGAGACUUAAUGGAUUCAAACAAGCUUUGGAUGAAUCCUUCAAAGCACCCUGGAAAUUCAGCUGUUUCCCCAGUUCUACUCUGCACAGAUCCACAGGUGGACCAGGAAUGGAUGGAGGAAUUAUAUUAGCCCCAUUGUGCAGUGCAGCACCCCUGCUCCUCAUCCAACAGAUCCUGAAGGGCCGUCCCCAAAUCUGUGGUUUUAUUGCUCUUCUGGAAUUGUACUCUGGACCUGAAGACUUCCAGGCAAAGCAUAGAGCUUUUCCAUGGGCUCCAGAGGGCUCCUCAGGGCUGAGCCAUUCCCAGUACCGCCCGUCCCUGACCUCAGACAAGGCUCCAAUUAGGACUUUCAGUUAUUUUUCUUUGAAACAAACACAGGGCAAUGGGGAAAAGCAUCCUUAUCAUCUGGGGAUAUUCACAUUUUUACUACAUUUUCUUUCAGUUCUGAUUUUUUUUUUUCCCCAGAACCAGUUAAUCCAUUUCUUUUGGACUUGUACCUUCAAGGCAAGAGCUGCAGCACAACGUGCGGCCAAGCCAUUCCAGAAAAAUGCCUUCACUACAGAACAUGAACUUCCCAUUAUAGAGGCUGCAUAUGUGCUCUGAUUGAUCCCUAAACUGGCAUUUCAAUUUAUUUCCCACUGGAGGACUCAUUCAUUACAGAGAAAUAAGACUAUUAAAUGCAUGAUAAAGCACAUGCAUCAACAGACGAGAAUGGUGGUUACUUUACUGUACCUAUCUAAACAAUAGCUGAUAAAUAAAGCCAUUCAUGAUCACAUAGGACCUUUUAAAAUGAAUAAGGAAACAGUAAUAUGCUCAUUAUUAAAGCAGCUGAUUAAAAAAAAUAGCUUGCCAGCAUUAACACCACACACACUUUGCUGCUGCAUCCCUGGCUGUGGGACGGAGGCAGCUCGAAGGCACAGAUUGCGAGCAACCUGCCUGCAACCUGCCCAAGUCCCAGCAGCCUGCAGAUGUGUGCAGCUGUGCUGAUGUGGCAGCAGGCUCUUACCUCCAGCAGCAGGGAAAGAUGCCCAAAGGAGCCCAUGCAAGCUGCUUUUUUCAAGCUUCCAUCGUUUUUUCUUUAACUACUGCAUUGACUUUCUACCCAACAGCCUCUGGAGAGAAGCAGAAUAGUGGUGCAGGUGUAGAAUUCUUUAUACGUAUCAUAGAACCACAGAAUGGCUUAGGUUGGAAGGGACCUUAAAGAUCAUCGAGCUCCAAC